CUACGGGAGGCAGCAGUGGGGAAUUUUGGACAAUGGGGGAAACCCUGAUCCAGCCAUCCCGCGUGUAUGAUGAAGGCCUUCGGGUUGUAAAGUACAUUUGGCAGAGAAGAAAAGGUACCUCCUAAUACGAGGUACUCCUGACGGUAUCUGCAGCAUAAGCACCGGCUAACUACGUGCCAGCAGCCGCGGUAAUACGUAGGGUGCAAGCGUUAAUCGGA
rnacentral:rRNA from 1 species